rnacentral:lncRNA from 1 species
CACGAGGAUUAGCCUAGAGGCAUAAGGCUUCUAAGUUUAGGCAUAAGGCAUGUUUUUCUUUUCUUUUAUUUUUCAUACUAUCCCUUCGGACCCUUCUUCUAUUUAUUGGAUAUUUUCAUUGAUUUUCGAAGGUAAUAUUCUCGCAUCCUUCUUUUCUGAUAAAUUGCCUCUUAAACAUUGGUAAUGAAUAUGGUUGAUUACCUAUGAGGCUAUGACUAGCUUCACAAAAUAGUAUAAGUGAAUUUUUCCUACAUGCCACAUCUAAUGCAAUACUUUCACACAACAAUUAUGGAUUUUCUAACUUAAAGAGUCUUUCUCAGCUUGAAUAAAAUAUGUAAUGAACCUCACAAACCUCUUCAAUUUUGGACUAAGGUAUGUAUUUAUAGAACAAGACUUUGAUCAAAAUCAUUGUUCCAAUUAGUUCCAAAAAGAGUUUGAGAAGGAAAAUGAAACAAUUCACAUUCCCAAUUUGAUUCAUUCUCUCAUGCAAUUUUAGUCCUUCAUUGUCUAAUCUUCACAAUUAAGUCAUCUUCAUCUCAAAAUUAUUAAUAUUUGACUAGACGCAAGUUUUCAAAGUUUACAAUUUAGUCUUCAGACUUAUCAAAUGUUGAAUUUAACUUCGAAACUUAUGAAUUUUUACCGAAUUCUCCACUACGCUUUGAAUCAACUCCAGUCAAGCUCCAGUUUCACCUAUUCCUCACCUAAUUCAUCCAAGUGCAUUUAAAUUGUUUACCAAAAAUUGACAACAUUUUUGAUAAGUUAAGUAGAUAUCUACUCAAUUAAUCAUGAAUGAUUAAGUAAAGAACCCCCAAAUAUGUGAAUAAUGUACAGUUAUCAGUAAGUUUUGACAAAUGUCACUUAAACUUGAAGGGGUUUAGUUAAAGUCUCACGUGAUGCACGCCUCAAGGCAUAAUCCUCGAACAGAAUUUUAAAACAAUGAUGAAUAAAAGGUAUUGAAAAUUAAGCUUGAGUUAUCUAGCUAAGAAAUCUCAUUCUUAAAGUAAUAGUGGUUUAUCAAAGUUCAAUGAUGAAAUAUUGUUUCCUUUGCGCAUUUGCAUGUCAUCUAAAGAAUGUAGCAGAUUUUGAACCUUAGUACCAGAUGUGUUGCAUAUAAUGUAUUUACGGCUAUUAGUUUGUUAUCGUUGAUGAUGUGAUUGAUGAAAGCUCUCUAAUGAAAUAAAUUGUAUAUAUGCUAAUGAUGAUAUUUGAUCAAUAAAAUUUAUAUCUAUCCGUUCAAUGUGAAGCAGAGAUGGUGAUUCAUCCGCCAGAGAAGCCCGAAUAAACAAUGAAAUUUCUCAAACCUUGUGUUGGAAACAAAGGGGUUUGGAGAAGAGACAAAAGGAAUAACAAAAAAUUACAACAAGAUGAAGAAACCAGAAAGUUGUUAAGAACAAAUUCGAAGGCUCGAACGCGGGAUCGUUGUCCUCAAACGAUAUUUGCUCCCUCUCGGGAUUGAAUGAGAUGCU